CUAGGCCAGACUGGGCCCAUUGCGCCGGGUCCCCGUCCGAGACAGCGCUGGUUGACUUGGCAUGGUCACAUCUGUCAUGCUUGCCCUGUGACCUGUUGUGGAACUCCAGUAGGGGUACUGGACUCCUGUGUGGUCAUCCAGCUGGAACAUUGCAAGGAGCCCUAGCUGCUCACCUGGGUUGAUAUGACUCCACCAUGGCAGGUUCCUGCAGGCAUACAGAGUGUGAGCUAGGUCCUUCAGUUCAGCUUCUCCUUCCUGGUCAGCAUAAUGAAGCCCUCCCCCCGCCCCCUCCCGCCUUUUCAAGAUGCUCACAACUGAAUCCCUGAAUCUCCUUCUUUUGCAGAAAUGAAAAAAGCUGAUCUUCAAAUUCAUAUGAAACUGCAAAGGG